rnacentral:tRNA from 1 species
GCUUAUGUAGUUUAGAAAAACAUUGGUCUUGUAAACCAAAAACGGAGAAUUACUAUCUCCCAUAAGCCA